CAUAGGCAGUGGCUUGGUUAAGGGAACGGAACCCACCGGAGCCGUAGCGAAAGCGAGUCUUCAUAGGGCGAUUGUCACUGCUUAUGGACCCGAACCUGGGUGAUCUAUACAUGACCUGGAUGAAGCUUGGAUGAAACUAAGCAAAGGUCCGAACUGACUGAUGUUGAAGAAUCAGCGGAUGAGUUGUGGUUAGGGGUGAAAUGCCACUCGAACCCCGCCGAG
rfam:Oryza glumipatula chromosome 10, whole genome shotgun sequence.